UACGGAGGGUGCAAACGUUGCUCGGAAUCAUUGGGCGUAAAGCGCACGUAGGCGGCCUGAUAAGUCGGGUGUGAAAGCCCUGGGCUCAACCCAGGAAGUGCACUCGAAACUGUCAGGCUUGAAUAUGGAAGAGGGUCGCGGAAUUCCCGGUGUAGAGGUGAAAUUCGUAGAUAUCGGGAGGAACACCAGUGGCGAAGGCGGCGACCUGGGCCAAUAUUGACGCUGAGGUGCAAAAGCGUGGGGAGCAAACAGG
rnacentral:rRNA from 1 species